GCCGGGGUGGCCGAACGGCUCAGGCGGCAGCCUGCAGAGCUGCUUUAUAUGGGUUCAACUCCCAUCCCCGGCU
rnacentral:tRNA from 1 species